rnacentral:rRNA from 1 species
UGAGCAAUCUGCCCUUCACUCGGGGAUAAGCCUCGGAAACGAGGUCUAAUACCCGAUACGACCAGCCUUCGCAUGAGGUGCUGGUGGAAAGUUUUGUCGGUGGAGGAUGUGCUCGCGGCCUAUCAGCUUGUUGGUGGGGUAAUGGCCUACCAAGGCUUCGACGGGUAGCCGGCCUGAGAGGGUGAUCGGCCACACUGGGACUGAGACACGGCCCAGACUCCGUACGGGAG